rnacentral:lncRNA from 1 species
UUGAUUGACAGUAAGCAAUUGGAUUCCAUAAUCUGUUGUCAAGAUUUUGUGUUAUUGUUUGUGAUUUUGAACUUCGUGUACUAUGAUCGUUAGGUUAUUAUGGAUUUGGAAGAACGAUACACAAAAUCUCUUACAUCAAAGGUAUUUUUAUCAUUUGAGCAUUUGUUAUUUUGCUUUUUAUUACUUUGAUUUUGUAUUAGGAUGUUAUUUGUUUUGAUCGGUUACUACUGUGUAAUUUGAAGGAUCAUUGUUUUCUAUGUUUGUUUUCUCUAGCUUUUCUUUUGAUUCUAUAGGCAUGUCUUAAUGAUUUUCCUAACUAUUAUUUUGUUUUUUUUUUCUUUUAAAAUUCAAAUAGUUCUUCGGAGAAUCAUUAAUGUCUUUUAAUUCGAUAAUCUUAAGGUUUUAGAAAAUGUGUUUGUUUUAAAGUUUUGUAAUCUUGGUUGAAUCUGGCUUUAAUCUUGAUUGUAAAUAUGGUUUUCUCAUUUUUAUUUAUUGGAUGGAGUUCGUUUUUCAGGUAAAAAAAAUUCUUGAAAAUACUUGAAAUUGAUAUUUAUUGAUUUUUACUAUAUUGAAACAUGAUAUUUGUUUUAUGAUUACUAUAUUGGGGUUAGGAUCAAGAGUGAACACCCCCCUCAUUUGUGAACUGUGUGAACUCAUCUUGGCCCUUGAUUUAUUUUUAAGAUACUAAGGGUAGGAUUGUCAUUAGCAAUUUAAACUUGAUUUUUUUAUUUAAUUAUAAACUUGUUAAUAUUGAUUCAUCAAUAUCAGUUAUUAUAUUAUACAACUUAUCCCUAUUUUCUUGUGAUUCAAUUGAAUCACCGUUUAAUUAAAAUUUCGAUUUCACAAUUCCUCCAAAAAUAAGAUCCACAGGUAAACCUUUUUUUCCAGAUUCAAUUUCAUUGACCUUCAUCUUCUUUUUGAAUCUGAUCAUCUUGUUCAUCAAAGUUCAAGUCAUCUUCUUUUGUAUUUCAUCAUCUAAUCACAGAUAUCCAAGAGACAAUACAAGAGACAAUACGUAGUCCAGAAAUCAAUAACGUGUUCUUUACAACGAUUAAUCGUCCUGUUCUUUAUUCUUUUGAUUUCUUCCCUGUUAUUUCGAUUCACAUAACCACAUGAUUCACAUCAGAUGUUCGUCAAUAUCGGUGAUUUUAUUCCCAGGAAUCCAAGCAAAGUCGGUAGCUAGUAACGUAUACGAGACACCUAAUGGCAGUAGGUAUUGAACGCCAGUUGUUCCGCCCGGUUGCAAACCCGUUCUAAAGGUGAGAUUUAGUUCAAUGGGAGCCGCUAUUGCAAUGUAUGAGAGUUACGCACAACUAGCAGGGUUUUGUACAGUUGCUGGAAAGCACAGAAAGGGCUGCAACUGUAAAAAGUCAAUGUGCUAGAAAAAGUACUGCCAGUGUUAUCAGGGUUGUUCACAUCGCGGUGUAAUGGUUCAAUUCGUUUCAGAUUCUCGCAACUUAGAGGUGUCUGUUUUGACCCGUAUACUUAUACAACGUGUCAAGUUAUGUAUUAUAUCUAACGGGUCAAACAAGAAAAAAUAAAACUAUUAUGUUUUGCAUUGUACAGAUUAAUGUUUGUUUGGUUUUUUCAUUAUGUAACAUACAGGGGUUUUUACUCUGUUUUUAGGCGAUGGUAUGAAUUUUUCUUGGUUGAUUUGUUGUAGACAUUUGUACAGAGGUUUUUUU